rnacentral:rRNA from 1 species
AGGUUUCCUAGGUGACCUGCGGAAGGAUCAUUAUUGAAUGAAAC